GGCCAGACUCCUACGGGAGGCAGCAGUGGGGAAUAUUGCACAAUGGGGGAAACCCUGAUGCAGCGACGCCGCGUGAGUGAAGAAGUAUUUCGGUAUGUAAAGCUCUAUCAGCAGGGAAGAAGUUGACGGUACCUGAGUAAGAAGCCCCGGCUAACUACGUGCCAGCAGCCGCGGUAAUACGUAGGUGGCGAGCGUUAUCCGGAAUGAUUGGGCGUAAAGGGUGCGCAGGCGGUCCUGCAAGUCUGGAGUGAAACGUAUGAGCUCAACUCAUGCAUGGCUCUGGAAACUGGAGGACUGGAGAGCAGGAGAGGGCGGUGGAACUCCAUGUGUAGCGGUAAAAUGCGUAGAUAUAUGGAAGAACACCAGUGGCGAAGGCGGCCGCCUGGCCUGUUGCUGACGCUGAGGCACGAAAGCGUGGGGAGCAAAUAGGAUUAGAUACCCGGGUAC
rnacentral:rRNA from 1 species